AUAAAAGGCAUGAGCUGAUGUAUUUGACUGUUUUUACCAGCUCAAGCUGAGGACCUGCACGUGGGAACCUCAUGAGGCAGGGGGAGCCCUGCCUUCCUGGACAUAGUCCCCCAGGGACUCCCAGUGGAAAGGUCUGGAUCUCUUCAAUGAGCAGGCUAAUACAUGUCAUGAGGUGAUUGCCUGGUGGGCCAGGUUCCUUGGCUGACCACAGAAAUAGGGGAAGCAGGGAGGAAGGAAGCCAGAGAACGUAGCAGUACUUUAAAACAAAGAAAAAAAAAUUCACUUAGUUCUAGCAGCACCAGCACCUUUCCUGAAGUUGAAUCACCCUCUUCUCCUGGCAGAGUGAGCUGGACUGAUUUAUAUAGGCCCCAGGCCCCUCCCAUUCCCAGCAGCCAAAAUGGGUUGCCAUCCUCUGACUCCUCCACAACAAUAUGUCUGUGACAGUUGUCAGCAAUGGAUCGGAAAAGGUCUCUUCCUAGCUCCAACCCUUUUCUCCAUUUUUCUUGCUGUCAUCCUCCUUCUCAUCGUUGACAAGCUCCUCUCCAGACUUGACAUCCAAGACAGAAUGGACAGCAAGUUUUUCAACCUCUAAGACUAUCACUAAAUCAGUUAUUGAACUCCAGUAUGCAGAUGGUUGUGCCCUGUAUGCCCGCUCAGAAGAAGAUCUUCAAAAAAUAGUUGACACGUUCUCUGAGACCUACAACCAACUUGGCCUCAUGCUCAACACCAAGAGCACAAAAGUACUCCACCAACAGGCUCUGAAUCACCAGGAUCCUGCUCCCAUAAUUCAGAUCAAUAAAGAGACCUUCAGAAUGUCUAGCACUUCCCUUACCUCAGCAAUUAUCUGUCCCAGAAAGCUGACAUUGAUGAGAAAAUUCAACACUGCUUUCAGACACUUAAAAAAUGUGCCUUUGAAGAUCAUGACAUCAAAAAUCAAACCAAGCCACUGUUAUCCCUGCUCUCUUGUAUGGUGCUGACACCUGGGUCACAUACAACAGACACCUCAAAGUUCUUGAACGGUGCCUCUGCAAGAUCUUUAGACUCAAGUAAGAUGACCGGCGCACCAACAUCCGUGUUUAGUCCCACGCCAAAACCUCCAGCACUAAAGCUGUGAUCAUCCAUCACCAACUCCAUUGGGUUGGUCAUGUUCUUCGAGUGCCAGAAAAUAGACUCCCAGAGGAGGUCAUGUUCUCACAACUGAGCCAUGGCCAACAGACGAGGGGCAGGCAAAAAAGUGUUUCAAAGACACCCUCAAAGCCAACAUGAAGAAGUGCAAUAUUGACAUAAACUCAUGGGAAACCCAAGCCCUUGACCAACCAAAAUGGAAAAGGACCUUGUGGCAAGGAUCCCAGUAUUGAGAGAUCCAACAGAGAAAUGGGAAAGGAGGAAAGAGCAUACGACAGCUUGACUCAACAAUCCAGAUCCGCCCCCUUUCAUUGGGAAAUAUGUGCCCCAAUUGUGACAAGAUCUGUGGAUCCUGGAUCAGUCUUAUUAGCCACCUGUGGAUCCAUCAGCAAUAACUGGCUAUCAUUUUAUGGAAGACGAUAAUCCUCAAACUCCGAGAGAUCGCUGACAAUUAGCCUCUUGUGGAAAUAACUUCCUGCUCAAAUACAUCACUGUGUGUUGUACCCCCUUUUUAUUUUCUUGAAAUAAGCUACUUCAAGGAUAACUCCUGAAGCAUCAGCUUUUACUAUAAAUUCAGCUGACUAAGCCCCAGGAAUACCCCUUCUAUGUCUUCCUUUUGGGCUCUAGACAAUUGCUCUGAGCCAUGGGACCACUUCAUUUCCUUAAACAGGGACUGUAGCUUCCUAAAUUCAGCCUCCAUCUCUAUGUCCCUCUUUUCUUGAUGACUCCAAAAUUGCUGGAAGAGGAUGCUCAAGUUAGGAAAUGAUUCCUUGAGUCUGAGAGAUGAUGUUUUCCUGCCCAAACUAAUUUGAAAUGCAAUGCAGGAGUAGCCAUUCUCUCUUUCUUUUCCUGAGAUUUCUUCUCCACUCACCCUUUCUCCUGCCCUCUCUCUCCUGUGUAGUGUAUGCGGUUCCUCUAGACUGAGAUCCUGUUUCCCCACAAUCUCCUGAACCCUCAGUAACCUCUGAUUUCUGGUCUCCAUCUCCUUUCUUGUCUCCCCACUCAGGGAUAUCCCACCCUGACACCAAACGUCAUCCCUGCUUACCAAGGAAUAACCUGGGGACAGGAGUCUUAUAGAAUCACAUUAAUUAAUAAACAUGAAAUUACUCAUCUCAAUUUUCAGUAUAAAAUGGAAUAAUUGUUCAUUGCUUUUUUAAAAUAAUCUUGGGCCUCAGAGGCAGACACACUCUAACAAGGAAUUAGCUUGGCAGAUACUUUAUAUGUCUGAUUUAAUUUCUGAAAGUUAAUACUUUGCUAUCCAAGUCUGGAUCUUUUUAAUGAGCAGUCUAAUAUAGUUAGGUUUUUAUCAAGCCAAUCAAAUAACAAUUUCACAAUACAUUAAUGGAUGUCCUUUGGUUUCAUAUAGUAAAUAAAGCAUAGGUAAGUAAUAGCUUAAUCAACGGCUGGGCUAGCCAGAAUGCCUUACCAUUGAGGCUAGCUAUUUAACUUUAUUAUUACAACAGUGCAGGUGGAUUAUUAUAUUGCAUAAUGGAACAGUACUCUUAAAACAUAACGUUUGAAUUUUUCUUAUUAUAGGCCGUAAUUCUUUCUUCUUUGAUUCCCUUCUAUGAGCUCAGCAGCAACAAUGGGGUUCAAUGAAGUCUUUCCACCACUUUGUCUUCUACCAGCUUCACAGCUUUGUUCAUCUUUAAACCUUUUUGUUGUAUGUCCUUCCUCACUGUGUCUAUCCAGCACUUCGUGGGCCGUCCUCUGUUUCUAGUUCCUUGCACUCUAGAGCGUCUCACCAUGCAUGGUGACAUUUUCAGAUCCCUUUUUGACACAUGUCCAAACCUUUUCAGUCAUCUUUUUCGACUUGUCUGUAACAGUGUCAUUUCUUGCCCUAGCUGGUUUUGGGUCCCUUUUCGUUGUCUGUGGUCUUGAACCUCUCAGUAUUUCCCUUAGCUGCUCAUUUCUGCCAUCAAUAUCUUUUGUUCGUUGGCUUUCCUCAUGCUCCAACGUUACAACUCAUACAGGAUUAUCAGCAUGACAAUUGCCUCAUACGUGCUGAUUUCGUUUUUAUCAACAUGGGUUUAGAUUUCCAGAUCUUGCAGACUUUUCCUAAUAUAGGAGCUGUUAAUCCAAUACUGCUUAUGUCAUCAUCACAAUUGCUAUGCUUCAAUAUUAAUCCUCCAAGGUACACGCAUUUUUCCACAUGUUUUACUUCUUUGUCUCCAACUUUGGUCUUUAUCUCUUCCUCUUGUCUUCCGACUGACCUAAUUUUUGCCUUCUCCAUACUGAUUGUCAAUCAGAAUUUUUCUGCUUCCUAUCUACCUUUGUCCGUUAUUUUCUGUAAAUCCUGCUUGGUCAACAUCAUCUGGAAAUCUAAGGUUAUUCACUCUCCUCCCACAUAACAUGACUCUUCCUGUUUCAUCUCUUGGUGCUACAGCCAUUACUGCUUCCAGUACCAAGUUGAACAAAAUUUGCCAUAGCGUGCAUCCUUGUCUCACUCCCAGCAGCGCCUGGAGCUAUAUGUGUGUUAUGCAUGGUGAGUACUGUUGGCAGGGCACCAAGUCAUCAGGACUGGUCCCUCUCAACAGUAGAAUGAGGAGGAGCAUUACUGACUGCCCCACUGCUUGCUCAGGUUUGUCCCCUCCAUCAUAAUGGUGGCAGGGGAGGGAAUUGAGUGAUGCGUUGAGUGAAUGAUGUUGUGACAUGGUGUGUGGAGGUCACAGCGCCUCUCAGAUUUGGCCCUGUGGCCACUCCAUCACAAUGGGGAGGUGGCAGGGCCAAACUGAGUGAGUGGCAUUGUGACCUGGUGCUUGGGGGUUGCAGCGCUGCUCACUCAAUUUUGACCCUGCAGCCUCCCCAUCAUGAUA